rnacentral:lncRNA from 1 species
AUAGAUGUAUGAAUACAUGUAUACAUCUGAUGUAACCAUUCUCAAUCCUAGGAGACCCAACUUUCCCUUUACAACAAAUCUUCUGUAAUUCUAACAUACUAAAUGAAACGCAAGAAAACUAUACAACAUUUUCAUAACCAAUAUAACGCCCUUCCUUUGAUGUCAUGAAAUAAGGGGAAAAUGUGUAAGAAAAUAACAUAUAUAUUUUGAUCUAUAGGUGUUUGGAUGUGACUAUACUAAGAGACAUAAUGCUUAUAUUCACUUACAAAUAUAUUAGUUUGUACAUAAGAGAAGUAAGAAGAUGAGAAGCGAUGCCACAUGGGAUAUACAGAAAAAUGAACACGCGGUAGAAUAGUAAGUAAUGGAGGAUGAGAAGGUUCAAGUGCAGUGCCAACAGACCAGCAUGUUUGUAUGCGACACGAGGAAGGGAAGUAACCUUCACUUAGCCUCCAAGAAAGAGCAGACAGUCAGGGUGAAGAAGAUGAGGAAUUUUGACUGUCUCACCAUUAGGCUGCACAUGAGCUGCUUUAAAAUAUUUCCCUAUGUUUUGAGGAGUAGUGAUGAAAUCGGAUAGAAAACUGAUUUCCCGUUUUGAAAUCGCACCAUAUGUAAGGACAUACAUUCUAGCUCUAGAACUUAGACCUUGGAGAUCCCAUCCUUUGCUGUGUGACGGAAAACAGAUAUGAAUUAAAAAAAAAAAAAAAAGGAAAGAAAAAAAGCUCUAGGGAAAUGAGGUGGUGGACUUCUAAGGGGGGUACUGGAGGAGGACUGGGGGGGCACAUCACCCAUCACUCCCUUUACAAAUUCCCCACACUGUGAUUUCCAUUUGUACUUUGCUCAGCACCACUUUCAUAUCAUUGUGCUACACGGACAAGAAAAGCAGAGGCUGGAUGGUACAAUAGUGUCACCCCUGUCCUGAGCCUUAACGUGUUGGGGGCAACUUCCUAACUGCAGCUCUGGUCCUGCCCACUCCCAUGGGGGGCUCAAGUGCAUGGGGGAAGCCCUUAGUGACUGAUGGGAGUCAGUGGAUAAAUACCCCAGCUGCCUCCCCCUCUGGUGGGAUGAGAGUGGGGCACUGGCUCCAGCUGCCCAUUGUGCUACUUUGUUUGAUAAUUCAUCUCUAUUGGCUUCCAUCCUUCUCCUCCCAUUCUCCCAGGGGUCUUUCCUAGGACCACUUUCCAAAAAUUGCAAAUGAAUUUGAAAUUUGGUCUCAGAGUCUGCUUCUGGGGAGACCCAAACUAUAACAGAUUCAACAAGACAUAGCGAGGCAAACAAUGAUUCCUAAUAAUGGACAGAAUUAGCUCUCCAUAAUAGGAUCCAGAGAAAAGACAAAGUGGGAACCUUGGCUCUGGCAACAGAAAUGAUACACAGGAAGCGAUCUGGGGCUGUGAUAAGGGCUGGAUGAAUUACGCUAGUGCAGGGUUUCUCAACCUGCACUACUGCCAUUUUGGGCAGGAGAUGGUGGGACACUGUGGGAGGCUGCCUGUGUACUGUAGGAUGCCGAAGAGCCUCUCUGGACCCCGCCCAACAGAUGCCAGGGGUAGCCCCCUCUCCCAAUUCUCACACCAAAAUUGUCCCCCAAUAUUGACAAGAGUUCCCUGGAAACUAAAAUCAGCCCAUUUGGAACCACCUGAAAUGUGCACCUUCUCAGAUUUCAAUGCGCAGACAAUCAGCUGGGGUCUUAUUAAAUGCUGCUUUAAUAGGACUAGAGGAGGGCUUGGCACUCUCCGGUCCAAACAGGAUCCCAGGUGAGGUCAAGGCUGCCUGUUUUCUGGAAGGCAAACCUGCAGCCCUCUACCACUCAACAUGGACGGGUCCUCAGAAUGCAAAGCAGAGGUACACGCAAGCUACAGAUUACUGAAAACACUUUCAAGCAAGAGCUGCGUACCAUAUUACAUCAUCACAUGUUUAGUUAAGAAUGGUUGCAGAACUGAACAUAAAUAAGUGAAGGGUCUGUGUUUGUCUUUUAAACUUCAGAGUGCUUUAUUUCCUAUUUCGGCAGUUCUCAAACCUUUCGGUUUUGAGAUUCUUUUAACAUUCGUAAAAAUAAUUGAGAACUGCAAGAACUUUUGUUAACAAGGGUUUAUUGGUAUUUACGAUAUUAGAAAUUAACUAAGAAACUGAGAAAAUUGUUUAACUUUUUUUUUUUUUUUUAAAGGGCUGCACCUGAGGCAUAUGGAAGUUCCCAUGCUAGGGGCUGAAUCAGAGCUGUAACCUCCAGUCUGUGCCACAGCCACAGCAACGCCAGAGCUGCCAGAUCUCAACCUCGUCUUCGACCUGCACCACAGCUCACGGCAACACUGGACACUUAACCCACUGAGCAGGGCCAGGGAUCUAACCCUGAAUUCUCAUGGAUACUAGUCGGGUUCAUUACUGCUGAGCCACAACGAGAACU